UACGGAGGGGGCUAGCGUUGUUCGGAAUUACUGGGCGUAAAGCGCACGUAGGCGGCUUUGUAAGUUAGAGGUGAAAGCCCGGGGCUCAACCCCGGUACGCACUGGAAACUGGGUGGCUGGAGUGCAGGAGAGGGGAGUGGAAUUCCACGUGUAGCGGUGAAAUGCGUAGAGAUGUGGAGGAACACCAGUGGCGAAGGCGACUACCUGGCCUGUUCUUGACGCUGAGGCGCGAAAGCUAGGGGAGCAAACGGG
rnacentral:rRNA from 1 species